CCCGACUUUUGCGGAAGGGCGNCGUUUAUUANAUACAAAGCCAUCCUANGCCCCGCCUANAGUUUUUGGUGAUUCAUUUUAACUUUGCGAAUCGUAUGCUUCGGCGACGAUGAAUCUUUCAAGUUUCUGACCUAUCAGCUUUUGAUGGUAAGGUAUUGGCUUACCAUGGCAUUGACGGGUAACGGAGAAUUANGGUUCGAUUCCGGAGAGGGAGCCUGAGAAACGGCUACCACUUCUAAGGAAGGCAGCAGGCGCGCAAAUUACCCAAUCCUGAUACAGGGAGGUAGUGACAAGAAAUAACAAUACGUGGCAUUACUGUCUCGUAAUUGGAAUGAGAAGGGUGUAAAUAUUCCUUCGAAAUCAAUUGGAGGGCAAGUCUGGUGCCAGCAGCCGCGGUAAUUCCAGCUCCAAUAGCGUAUAUUAAAGUUGUUGCGGUUAAAAAGCUCGUAGUUGGAUUUCAGUCGAGGACGACCGGUCCUGUUUUAUAGCAGGAACCUGGUUUGGCCGAGACAUCUCUUGGUGGUUGUGGUAGCGCUUGACUGUGCUCCAUGUGCCCCAAGUUUUUUACUUUGAGGAAAUUAGAGUGUUCCAAGCAGGCAUUUGCCUUGAAUAUAUUAGCAUGGAAUAAUAAGAUAAGACAUUGGUUCUGUUUUGUUGGUUUAAGGAAUUGAUGUAAUGAUUAAUAGGGAUAGCCGGGGGCAUUCGUACUUAACUGUCAGAGGUGGAAUUCUUGGAUUUGUUAAAGACGACCUACUGCGAAAGCAUUUGCCAAGAAUGUUUUCAUUGAUCAAGAACGAAAGUUAGGGGAUCGAAGACGAUUAGAUACCGUCCUAGUCUUAACCAUAAACUAUGCCGACUAGAGAUUGGAGGUUAUUAAAUUGCGAUACCUUCAGCACCUCGAGAGAAAUCAAAGUCUAUGGGUUCCGGGGGGAGUAUGGUCGCAAGGCUGAAACUUAAAGGAAUUGACGGAAGGGCACCACCAGGAGUGGAGCCUGCGGCUUAAUUUGACUCAACACGGGGAACCUCACCAGGUCCAGACAUAGGAAGGAUUGACAGAUUGACGGCUCUUUCUUGAUUCUU
rnacentral:rRNA from 1 species